rnacentral:rRNA from 1 species
AUACGGAGGGGGCUAGCGUUGUUCGGAAUCACUGGGCGUAAAGCGCUCGUAGGCGGACCAGUCAGUCAGAGGUGAAAUCCCAAGGCUCAACCUUGGAACUGCCUUUGAUACUGCUGGUCUUGAGGUCGAGAGAGGUAAGUGGAAUUCCUAGUGUAGAGGUGAAAUUCGUAGAUAUUAGGAAGAACACCAGUGGCGAAGGCGGCUUACUGGUUCGAUUCUGACGCUGAGGAGCGAAAGCGUGGGGAGCAAACAGGAUUAGAUACCCUAGUAGUCC